CGCUCGGUAGUCUAAUGGAUAGGGCAGCAUCCUUCUAAGAUGUCGGGUAGAGGUUCGAAUCCUCUCCGAGCGG
rnacentral:tRNA from 1 species